UAAAUCAAUUUAUUUAAGCACUGUGGUUGGUUACAAAUUUAUUCUUUGUUGGGUUUCAGUAAAUGCACCCUAUAUACAUCUCAGCCAGGCCCUUUGCCUGGUCUGUAUUGUGAAUGGGUGAACAUGG